UUUUCCUUUUACCCACCUUACCUCAAAAAAAAAAAAAAAAAACGUUGCGCAGAACGACGCCGUAUUGCCAUGACAUGUCUAUCUAUCAACCAACCUGAACCUCUUCAGCGAAGGAUCCUCAAAGUUUGAAUAAAACGACGUCGUUUCGAGACGGAUUCCAUUGAACACAUUUCAACGCAGAUGAGAUCUCUUGAAAUUGCUCGAUUUUCCAGGCUCAGGUUUCGAGAAAAUCCAUCUUGUCCGUUUGACAACUUCUCCCUGUAGCAAUGGCAAAGUAAUCAGUCAAUUACUAAUUUGCAAUCUUGCUGUUUGAUGAUAGAUGAAACUCUUCCAAGUGCUGUUUUUCUUUGUGAAAUUCUUUAGUACUUUUGGAGCAAAUGAAAAUCCCUUACUCUGUCUCAUAUGUAUGAGCUAUCCCUUUAACUAGUUUUUUUGUUGACAGAGUACACAUUCUAGGUAGAGAACAAGAAAUUUCUUACUCUGGGAGUAACUAAAUUUCUAGUCUUUCUUUUAAGUACAAGAUCCCAGCCUAGAGUCUUUGAACUGCUGUUUAGAGGGAUUUACAUGGAAAUUAGGAAUUCUUAUGGGAGUUGCCUUAUGCAGGAGUAGGAUUAAUUAUUAUGUUUUAUGGUACAAUGUCAUUCCCAUGUUUCUACUGCAGUAAACCCCUCUUUUAAUUUCUUCU